ACAAUAUCAUCUUCAACCACCCUCACCGGGCAACCCCACUGCACAGUCGUCGUACAUCUUGCCAUCAAUAAUUGAUCACAAUAAUUUCAAGAAAAGGGGUCAUUUUUUCUUUAUUUUUGUAAGAACAUAAGCAACAGAGAAAUUUUUUUUUUCAAAAAACAAACUGGCCGCCCUGCCUUUGAAAUUCCUACACUCAGUUAUAUGGAUUCCAUGGAGAAUCCAAAACCAUUUCAAAAAUCAAGGAAUAACUGGCCCUGCCAGCCAUCCAAUCUUCUAAAUGCUAAGGGUGUGUCCAAGCCAUCGUCUAAUUUUAACUGUGAUGUUCUUUACAGACUGGCUCCAUUUACUAUACAAGAAUGGUCAAGGAGGAAUGGGAAGACGUGCGUUUCUCCAUUGAUUUGGAGUCAAGCCCAGGUUGUUGGCUAUAUCUGAUCCACACAUGAUCAAGAAGAUUCUCACAAAUACAACUGCAGGGUCAUGAUGGAGUCUCCAUCCUUGAUCGAGUUUCCUACUGUUGCUAGUUAUGAUAUAUUUUUUUCUUUUUUGGGAUUAGAUAUACCAUGGUUAAGGAAAAAUAAAUCGAGAUUUCUGACUCUGGCUUGGCAUGGAUCUUUGGAGGCAAACAAACAGAGGACAGAACACAGAGAGGAGUUGUGACUUGGUGGCUACAUGUCUCCAGAGUAUGCAUUGGAUGGCGUUUUCUUAAUCAAGGGUGAUGAUGUCUUUAGCUUUGGUUUAGUUGUACUUGGAACUCUGUGGGAAAAGAAAUACGGCGUCUUACGAGUCUAAUCAUAACUUUUAGCCUUUCAGCUUAUGUGAGUAAUCAAGAUUUUUGUAGCCACUCUUUGUUUGUCUCUGCUACGUACUAAUUUUGAUUUUUGAAGUUUUCCCAGGCAUGGAGGUUGUGGAAAGAGGAAAAGGUACUGUAUGGAUAGAGAAUUAUGCGAAACUUGUGAUGCCAAUGAAUUUGUGAGGUGUGUGAAUGGUGGCCUCUUAUGUGUGCAAGAACAUCCAUGGGAUCGUUCAACCUUGUCGAACAUAGUUUUCAUGCUUGGAAGUGAAACUGCAUCUCUACUAACGCAACAGGAUUUGCAGUGAGCAGAUCCCUUUCUAGCACUGGUUCUUCUUCUAGUAAAGCAGAUUCAUACGUCGAGUUAACAAAUACCUUGUAGACGAUAAUGGGGGGGGGGGGGGGGAUCCUUCUCUCCUCUGUAUCAAUCUAGCAGGGCGUGUCAUACUUCUGAUCGAUUUGAUGUUUUUUGUCUAGUUCCAUUUACUCAGAGCCAUUGUCUUUAAAAUUUGUCAAGUGAAUUCGGAUCAAGCAAUAUGAAAGGAAAAAUUAUAAAGCUGGAAUAUUA